GAUGAACGCUAGCGACAGGCUUAACACAUGCAAGUCGAGGGGCAGCACGGGAGUAGCAAUACAACUGGUGGCGACCGGCGCACGGGUGAGUAACGCGUAUGCAACCUACCUAUCAGAGGGGAAUAACCCGGCGAAGGUCGGACUAAUACCGCAUAAAACAGGGGCACCGCAUGGUGAUAUUUGUUAAAGAAAUUCGCUGAUAGAUGGGCAUGCGUUCCAUUAGGUAGUUGGUGAGGUAACGGCUCACAAAGCCGACGAUGGAUAGGGGAACUGAGAGGUUCGUCCCCCACACUUGGACUGAGACACGGACCAGACUCCUACGGGAGGCAGCAGUGAGGAAUAUUGGUCAAUGGGCGGGAGCCUGAACCAGCCAAGUCGCGUGAAGGAAGAAGGAUCUAUGGUUCGUAAACUUCUUUUGCAGGGGAAUAAAGUGCAGGACGUGUCCUGUUUUGUAUGUACCCUGAGAAUAAGGAUCGGCUAACUCCGUGCCAGCCGCCGCAGUAACAC
rnacentral:rRNA from 1 species